GUUUUGCUCUGUGUCCAGUAUCCUCAGUGCUGUUUCGAAGAGACACAGAGCGAAAUAGCACUGAGUAUACUGGACACAGAGCGAAACAG